rnacentral:lncRNA from 1 species
ACAGGAUCCCUCUAUAUAGUCCUGGCUGUCCUGCAACUUGCUCUGCUAGACCAGGCUGGCCUUGAACGCACAGCUAUAAAGGGAUUCGUCCUGGGACUCAGUAACGGAUCUCACCCACCCACUGCAAUGACGGCUCAGGACCGGACAAUCUGUACAGUUCACUAGAUCAAAAACAGUUAACAUUCAAGAGAGGAUGCACAAGCAGGGAGCGGCAGGUCUUAAGACUCAGGACUGGGUACCAUGGCAGCCGCCAGUUGGAGGUGCACCCCUUGCUCCACCACUCUGUGCUCUUGGCCUAGCAGGCCCCUCCUUGUCUCUCUCAUUUCUGACUUCUGGUCAGCUUGACUACCUUCACAACGGUGCCCUAUCAGGAGGUAAACGGCUUGCCUCCAGGUUCCCAGCCUGCGCCUUGUCUGAGUGUCUGCUGAAGCCUCCCAGCUAGCACUUGGAGUCUCACAGCUCAUACCGCACCACCGGUGAUCCCUCCUGACCAUCACUGUGCUGCUGGGCCUACUUCCACCCGGAGUCAAGAACCCUGGUGGAGCAGGAGUGUGCUUCCCACUGGAAUCAAAACCAAGG